GUAUAUAUAUAUUGCGAGGACAAAAGCACCGGAACACAUCAAAACUCCGAAAUUAAGCGUGCUUGGACGAGAGUUGUACUAGGAUGGGUGAUCCCCUGAGAAUUCCUCAUGUUACAUCCC
rfam:Oryza glumipatula chromosome 9, whole genome shotgun sequence.